UAACUAAAAUACAUGAAGAUAUGGUGUUUGUCUGUCUGCGUUCUAUUAUCGCAUGUUUAUUUUUUGAAUGGAUAUGCAGGGCCAACACAAAUUUGCAAAUUUUGUGUUCUCUUUGAUAACUCCUUAUCUGCUCUUGAAGCCAAUAACAGCUUCCUACCAUUGAGACUGACAUGAGCUGCUGAAUGGCCAUUCUUUUUUAAAUGCCCCUUUGAAUAGAAAAUAGAUGAGGAAGAAAACUUGCAUAAAACCUUCAUGGAAAUUGGGUGGAUUUUAGCAGAUCAGUGGCAAAAGUUCAAUUAUACUGGAACUUGGAAUGAACAAUGCUAUGAAAUAAUCUCCUUUUUGUUAUAUUUUUGUCUGAUCAUUUGUAAAAAGACUAAGCGAUUAUCAUGCUGCUUUUUGACACCAACAAACUCAUUUUGCUGACUUAAAUGAUUUAGGUUUUGUUCACUGGUGAAAAGAUAGGUGUUGGAAUGGGCACAACAAGGAAGGAUGCACAGCAGCAAGCAGCUGAGAAUGCCCUUCGCAGCUUGGCAGAAAAAUAUAUAGCAUAUGUUUCACCCCAUCCUGGUGCAUUUGAUCGGAUUUUGAUAAGCUUUCUAUUGGAUACGAGAAUGGAUUUGUAUGGGACAUUACAAAUCCUGGAUCAAGUGACGUGGUACUAGAAGACGGGUUAGCUAGAGAAUGUCUUCCCAAGGUGAGGAUUUUUUUAUGAUGUUUUCAGUAGUUGGUUUGAUUCAUUUGUUUAAAAACAUAGGCGAUGCUUGGAUAAAGGGUAUGCUGGCAAGAAAUUUCCAGAUGGGGAAGUGGUUAUCUGAACUGAAACUACACCCUUUUGGAGUUUGCAUUGCACCAAGAUGUGGGAGCUAAAACAGUGAAGGGUUAGUGAGCUAGCUUCAUGUCUGCUACUGUGGCUUUAACCAAGCUCCACUUAUUCUUGUUAAGAGGUUGCUGAUGCUGAACUUGGGAGUACAUCCAAUAUGGUAAAUAAUCAACAGCAGAAGCGUGCCAGCUCCCCAAGGUAAUGCAAAAAAUAUUCUUCCUUUUAUAGUGAAUCGAUUGUAAAUUUGAUCUCAUAAUGACAUAGAGGAAGUAGGGCAGAAACUUUUUUCCAACGAGUUUUUGAGGAGUGGGAUUGGUGUGACUAGUGAUUGUGUUCGAACCAAUAGUUUGACAGUGUUUUCAGUAGAUUGGAUUUCAUUUCUUUUUUGAGUCAUGAAGUGGAUUUAUUUGAACACGUGGAAUUCAUGGGCUCUAUAGUGGCGAAUUCAGUCCUAGGGUUGGCUUAUUGAGGUGGUUUGGGAGUUGCGAAGCUUGUGUUGAGCGUCUCAGAGAUGGAUUGUUCUUGCCUUUCUGAACGUCGUGUCUGAAGGAUUUUUUUUCGGGUCCUGUCCUGGAAAUUUUCACACUUGUACAUUCAUAUAUACUCCUUGCUGAACCUUUUUGCCUGUCUUUCAUUUUUCUAUUCCUUAUUGUGGAACUUCUGCAUGCUGUCUUGUACCAUUCGUGUAUGGCAUGUGCUUUUUGAAUGUCAUCCCCCAUGGAAAUUAGAUUCAUUUGGAAUUAUGAAUCUAUGCUACUCUCUGGGGUGCAAGUUGGAAGGAAAUUGUAGGGUGAGGUGUUUCUUUUUUGAUUGAUUUGAUGCAUCGUAAUGACACUUUUGUACCUUUGUGAUUCCUUCAUUGCUAAUCUUUGUAGAACAUGAAUUAUUCCUGGCAAUUUGUAUUGUUGGGUACUUUUUUUUCCUGAUGUGUAUACGAAAUCUGGUCUCGGCAUUUGCAUUCUUGUCAUGGAGAAUUAUUGCAUGUCUAGUUUGGAGAUACAUGAUGAUUGCCUCAACCUUUACCAAGUAAACGGUCAAAGGAAGAACUGCGUGGUUCACGAAGUCUACCCUUUCAGCAACCCAACACCCGGAAUCAUGUUUCAGGUCGCUAAUAUCGAGAAAACUUGGUAUUGACUCGAGGACUUGGUGUCAGGAUCAACAGGUCAGAUGGUCCUUGCUGGGAGAAUCAGUAACUCCAGCUCUGUUAGAACCUAAUUUAUUACAGUGAUAAAAUGCAAAAAAGUUUCUAUGCGUCAUUAUUUCGCUGUCAGGUGAUGAAAAAUGAUUUGGGGCAGAGAGCUUUCAGCGGAGCACCUUAAGAAAGCAACGGUGGUUUAACACAAAUGUUGCUACAUAUGGAGCUAUUCAGCCUGGGAGUUACCCGUGGGCCUACCUCGAUCUAGUUAAAAAAUUUCAAGUUACCAUUGAUGUUUGCAAGAUUUGUUUUUUUUAUUGGUUUCGAUUUUAAGAUUUUCAAUGCAGACCACAGAGGAUGCGUCUUUGGUAACAGAGCAACAUUGUUUCAAGUGCAUUGUGAUAUCAUUUGACUAUGAUUAUGCUUCUCUGCCCCUUGAACGAGACAGAGUUAGUAACGGUAAUUAUUGCCAACCGGAGCGAGGGACAAGUUCCAGAAUCUCCGGUGACU